CCUACGGGUGGCAGCAGUGGGGAAUAUUGGACAAUGGGCGAAAGCCUGAUCCAGCCAUGCCGCGUGUGUGAAGAAGGCCUUCGGGUUGUAAAGCACUUUCAGUGGGGAAGAAAGCCUUGGGGCUAAUACCCUCGAGGAAGGACAUCACCCACAGAAGAAGCACCGGCUAACUCCGUGCCAGCAGCCGCGGUAAUACGGAGGGUGCGAGCGUUAAUCGGAAUUACUGGGCGUAACGCGCGCGUAGGCGGUCUGAUAAGCCGGUUGUGAAAGCCCCGGGCUCAACCUGGGAACGGCAUCCGGAACUGUCAGGCUAGAGUGCAGGAGAGGAAGGUAGAAUUCCCGGUGUAGCGGUGAAAUGCGUAGAGAUCGGGAGGAAUACCAGUGGCGAAGGCGGCCUUCUGGACUGACACUGACGCUGAGGUGCGAAAGCGUGGGUAGCAAACAGGAUUAGAUACCCGGGUAGUC
rnacentral:rRNA from 1 species